AGUGAACGCUGGCGGUAGACCUAACACAUGCAAGUCGAACGGCAGCACAGUAAGAGCUUGCUCUUACGGGUGGCGAGUGGCGGACGGGUGAGGAAUACAUCGGAAUCUACUUUUUCGUGGGGGAUAACGUAGGGAAACUUACGCUAAUACCGCAUACGACCUACGGGUGAAAGCAGGGGAUCUUCGGACCUUGCGCGAUUGAAUGAGCCGAUGUCGGAUUAGCUAGUUGGCGGGGUAAGGGCCCACCAAGGCGACGAUCCGUAGCUGGUCUGAGAGGAUGAUCAGCCACACUGGAACUGAGACACGGUCCAGACUCCUACGGGAGGCAGCAGUGGGGAAUAUUGGACAAAGGGCGCAAGCCUGAUCCAGCCAUACCGCGUGGGUGAAGAAGGCCUUCGGGUUGUAAAGCCCUUUUGUUGGGAAAGAAAAGCAGCAGGUUAAUACCCCGCUGUUCUGACGGUACCCAAAGAAUAAGCACCGGCUAACUUCGUG
rnacentral:rRNA from 1 species